rnacentral:rRNA from 1 species
GACGAACGCUGGCGGCGUGCCUAAUACAUGCAAGUAGGACGCAGUUGCGAACGGGUGAGUAACGCGUAGGUAACUACCUAUUAGAGGGGGAUAACUAUUGGAACCGAUAGCUAAUACCGCCUACUAGUAGAUGGACCUGCGUUGUAUUAGCUAGUAGGUAGGGUAAUGGCCUACCUAGGCAACGAUAAAUAGCCGAGCUGAGAGGGUGAUCGGCCAACCUGAGACUGGGACACGGGCCGGACGUCGACGGGAGGCAGCCGUAGGGAAUCUUCGGCAAUGGGGGGAACCAUGACCGAGCAACGCCGCGUGAGUGAAGAAGGUUUUCGGAUCGUAAAGCUCUGUUGUUAAGGAAGCGGUACUUAACCAGAAAGGGACGGCUGACUACGUGCCAGCAGCCGCGGUAAUUC